rnacentral:rRNA from 1 species
AACGAACGCUGGCGGCAUGCCUAACACAUCCAAGUCGAACGAAGGCUUCGGCCUUAGUGGCGCACGGGUGCGUAACGCGUGGGAAUCUGCCCUUUGGUUCGGAAUAACAGCUGGAAACGGCUGCUAAUACCGGAUGAUGACGAAAGUCCAAAGAUUUAUCGCCAGAGGAUGAGCCCGCGUUGGAUUAGGUAGUUGGUGGGGUAAAGGCCUACCAAGCCGACGAUCCAUAGCUGGUCUGAGAGGAUGAUCAGCCACACUGGGACUGAGACACGGCCCAGACUCCUACGGGAGGCAGCAGUGGGGAAUAUUGGACAAUGGGCGCAAGCCUGAUCCAGCAAUGCCGCGUGAGUGAUGAAGGCCCUAGGGUUGUAAAGCUCUUUUACCCGGGAAGAUAAUGACUGUACCGGGAGAAUAAGCCCCGGCUAACUCCGUG